AGUGAACGCUGGCGGUAGGCCUAACACAUGCAAGUCGAACGGCAGCACAGUAAGAGCUUGCUCUUACGGGUGGCGAGUGGCGGACGGGUGAGGAAUACAUCGGAAUCUACUUUUUCGUGGGGGAUAACGUAGGGAAACUUACGCUAAUACCGCAUACGACCUACGGGUGAAAGCAGGGGAUCUUCGGACCUUGCGCGAUUGAAUGAGCCGAUGUCGGAUUAGCUAGUUGGCGGGGUAAAGGCCCACCAAGGCGACGAUCCGUAGCUGGUCUGAGAGGAUGAUCAGCCACCGUGGAAGGGAAACACGGUACAACCUACUACGGGAGGAAGCAGUGGGGAAUAUUGGAAAGGGGGCGCAGGCCUGACCCAGACAUCCCGGGGGGGGAAAGAGGGCAUUCGGGUUGAAAGGCCUUUUGGUGGAAAAAAAAAAGCAGAAGUUAAAUCCCCCGCUGUUCGGAGGGAACCAAAAGAAUAAGAACCGGCAAAUUUCGUG
rnacentral:rRNA from 1 species